UACGUAGGGUGCAAGCGUUGUCCGGAAUUAUUGGGCGUAAAGAGCUCGUAGGCGGUCUGUCGCGUCUGCUGUGAAAACUCGGGGCUUAACCCCGGGCCUGCAGUGGGUACGGGCAGACUAGAGUGCGGUAGGGGAGACUGGAAUUCCUGGUGUAGCGGUGAAAUGCGCAGAUAUCAGGAGGAACACCGGUGGCGAAGGCGGGUCUCUGGGCCGUAACUGACGCUGAGGAGCGAAAGCAUGGGGAGCGAACGGG
rnacentral:rRNA from 1 species